rnacentral:rRNA from 1 species
GGUGAACGCUGGCGGCGUGCUUAAGACGUGCAAGUCGAACGGCAGUCUUCGGACUGUAGUGGCGCACGGGUGAGUAACGCGUAACUGACCUACCCCAAAGUCGCGGAUAACGAUUCGAAAGAAUCGCUAAUACGUGAUGUGCUGUCAGAUCCUGUUCUGCCAGUAAAGAUUGAUUGCUUUGGGAUGGGGUUGCGUUCCAUCAGCUAGUUGGUGGGGUAAAGGCCCACCAAGGCGACGACGGAUAGCCGGCCUGAGAGGGUGGCCGGCCACAGGGGCACUGAGACACGGGUCCCACUCCUACGGGAGGCAGCAGUUAGGAAUCUUCCACAAUGGGCGAAAGCCUGAUGGAGCGACGCCGCGUGAGGGAUGAAGGUCUUCGGAUCGUAAACCUCUGAAUCAGGGACGAAAGACACUUCGGUGGGAUGACGGUACCUGAGUAAUAGCACCGGCUAACUCCGUGCCAGCCGCCGCGGUAAGAC